rnacentral:lncRNA from 1 species
GGAGAUUGAGGUUUUUCUUGGUUUGGUUUGAGGUUUCGUUUGGUAGUAAAUUAUGAAUGUAAAAAAUAUUGUUGACGAUUGUGAACGAGAGUUGUGUUGAGGUUAUAGAAAAUAAGGAUUUUGUGUUGAUUGUGAAUGAAAGUGGUUUGGUAGUGGUUUGGUUUGAGGUUUGGUUUUGUGAACGAUUAUGAAGGAGACUGGGUUGGUAGUUUUGUGGUUUGAGGUUUGGUUUUGUGAACGAUUGUGAAGGAGAGUGGGUUGGUAGUGGUUUGGUUUUGUGAAGGAGACUUGUGUAAAGGUUGUGAACGAGUUGUAAAAACUAAAAAUGACACAAAAGAAAGUGAAUAUAAUUUUUGUGAAAUACAAAGUGAAUGAAAUUGUUUUGAGAAGUGAAAACAAUUGUUGUCAAAGAGAAAGCGAAUGCAAUACAAAG